rnacentral:rRNA from 1 species
UACGUAGGUGGCAAGCGUUGUCCGGAAUUAUUGGGCGUAAAGCGCGCGCAGGCGGUCCUUUAAGUCUGAUGUGAAAGCCCACGGCUCAACCGUGGAGGGUCAUUGGAAACUGGGGGACUUGAGUACAGAAGAGGAAAGUGGAAUUCCACGUGUAGCGGUGAAAUGCGUAGAGAUGUGGAGGAACACCAGUGGCGAAGGCGGUUCUCUGGGCCUUACCUGACGCUGAGGAGCGAAAGCAUGGGGAGCAAACAGA